rnacentral:rRNA from 1 species
CUUUAACACUGAGGCGUGACGACGAGGCACUACGGUGCUGAAGCAACAAAUGCCCUGCUUCCAGGAAAAGCCUCUAAGCAUCAGGUAACAUCAAAUCGUACCCCAAACCGACACAGGUGGUCAGGUAGAGAAUACCAAGGCGCUUGAGAGAACUCGGGUGAAGGAACUAGGCAAAAUGGUGCCGUAACUUCGGGAGAAGGCACGCUGACACGUAGGUGAAGUGAUUUACUCAUGGAGCUGAAGUCAGUCGAAGAUACCAGCUGGCUGCAACUGUUUAUUAAAAACACAGCACUGUGCAAACACGAAAGUGGACGUAUACGGUGUGACGCCUGCCCGGUGCCGGAAGGUUAAUUGAUGGGGUCAGCGCAAGCGAAGCUCCUGAUCGAAGCCCCGGUAAACGGCGGCCGUAACUAUAACGGUCCUAAGGUAGCGAAAUUCCUUGUCGGGUAAGUUCCGACCUGCACGAAUGGCGUAAUGAUGGCCAGGCUGUCUCCACCCGAGACUCAGUGAAAUUGAACUCGCUGUGAAGAUGCAGUGUACCCGCGGCAAGACGGAAAGACCCCGUGAACCUUUACUAUAGCUUGACACUGAACAUUGAGCCUUGAUGUGUAGGAUAGGUGGGAGGCUUUGAAGCGUGGACGCCAGUCUGCGUGGAGCCGACCUUGAAAUACCACCCUUUAAUGUUUGAUGUUCUAACGUGGACCCGUGAUCCGGGUUGCGGACAGUGUCUGGUGGGUAGUUUGACUGGGGCGGUCUCCUCCUAAAGAGUAACGGAGGAGCACGAAGGUUGGCUAAUCCUGGUCGGACAUCAGGAGGUUAGUGCAAUGGCAUAAGCCAGCUUGACUGCGAGCGUGACGGCGCGAGCAGGUGCGAAAGCAGGUCAUAGUGAUCCGGUGGUUCUGAAUGGAAGGGCCAUCGCUCAACGGAUAAAAGGUACUCCGGGGAUAACAGGCUGAUACCGCCCAAGAGUUCAUAUCGACGGCGGUGUUUGGCACCUCGAUGUCGGCUCAUCACAUCCUGGGGCUGAAGUAGGUCCCAAGGGUAUGGCUGUUCGCCAUUUAAAGUGGUACGCGAGCUGGGUUUAGAACGUCGUGAGACAGUUCGGUCCCUAUCUGCCGUGGGCGCUGGAGAACUGAGGGGGGCUGCUCCUAGUACGAGAGGACCGGAGUGGACGCAUCACUGGUGUUCGGGUUGUCAUGCCAAUGGCACUGCCCGGUAGCUAAAUGCGGAAGAGAUAAGUGCUGAAAGCAUCUAAGCACGAAACUUGCCCCGAG